UUUGAAGGUUCAUCGGCUAAAAGCGGUCACGUCCUGUGGCGGGCGCCGAUGCUAGAACCUCCUGUUCG
rnacentral:sRNA from 1 species